GGCCCUUCCCUGGGCCUGGCCCCGCCCACAGAGGCGUAGGCCAAUCGCAGACGUGACGUGCCGAUGGGGGGCGGGCCUCCAGGCUCCAAACGCCGGAAGACCGGGUGCGUGCGGUAGCUGGGCCCGGCGGCCGCCUCCUCGGCCUCCGGGGCAUCCGUUGCGUCCCCGGCGGCUUCGUGGGGCUCCGAGGGAGCUGCAGCCUCUUCCAUUGCACCUUUUGCCCCCUGAAACGGUGCCAAGACGUGUCCGGUGCCCCCUGCGCGCGGGCUUGAAGCCCGGAGGCCGAGGAGCCCUCACGGCUCUCCAGACGGGAAGGUGCCUGCAACAACUCAGAUAGGAUCCUAUUCAUCCUUGGAACCUCCAGCCCUCGCAAGCCAGGACACCUGGGAAGCCUGCAUCUUCAUUCCUGGCUGAUUGAUCAAGGAGCUAUCAGCGAGGGAGACCCCUUAGCCAGUGCGCCAAUGACAGUCCCUGGACGCACGUUAUCACAGAUGGGCAUCGUAAAGGCUCAGGGGAUACAUCACUGCCGGGAUAAACUGUCGUUCUUUGAGGGAGGUCUAGUCAACUGUGAAAUAGCCACGAGGGAUAAUACUUUGGCUGUCUUUCCCGAGCCCAGUGGGAGAAGCCCUCUUAUGACAUAAAUCUUUGCGGAGAUAGGACAAUCUGAAAUGAGGACAAGCAAGAAAAAUGUCCAGAUCAGGGGCUCUGACAUCCAGCAGGAACGCGACCUUUCUGGAAAUAGA